rnacentral:lncRNA from 10 species
GCUCUUCUCGGGGAGUGGAGUGCUAUGACAGAUGAGACUUUCAUGCAAGAAAAUAAAUCCUGCACAUUUGAUGUACUGCUUUAAACUUAAAGACCUCUUUGGACCCGAAAUUGUAAGGAUUCUAUAAACCUGGAGAGUAAUCCUAAGAAAAAUCAUCAGAAGAAAGGAAUUUGUAGAACUAAAACUGCAAACAUCCAGAAUCUUGAUGGUGUGCCAAGCCAAAUGUCAACUGGAACUCAACCAAAAACUAAAGUGCUCUCUGAUAACAGACCCAAAGAAAGAGUGGGUUCAAGCAAUUCUUCUGCCUCAGCCUCCCAAGUAGCUGGGAUUACAGGUUCAAACAAUUCUCCUACCUCAGCCUCCCGAGUAGCUGGGAUUACAGGUGUACGCCAUUGUGUCCGGAAUUGGUGGGUUCUUGGUCUCACUGACUUCAAGAAUGAAGCCGUGGACCCUCGCGCAUGUCCCUGAAAUGGAGCGAAGGAUACACCAAAGGAAGAGUUGCUACAUCCCAUCUCUCCUGGGAAAGGAACAUGCUGCAGGGAGAGAGUUGCGAGAGCUCUUCACCCUUCUACCCUGCAGCAAAGGAAAAUGGGUCUCCUCAAGGAAGGCAUUUCCCCACAGCAAAGCUGCAAGCAACAUGAAAUAAUGCACCAUGACUAUGGGUUCUUGGCAAAGGAUUCCUGGCCUGGUACAGUUAGAAAUUGGGCUCUAUUCUCAAGCAAAGGGUUCCAACAAAAAAAUACCGCAGCAAGCAGACCGUGGAAUGUGCUUCUCCACUCUUCCAUACGGGGUGAUGGCACAGAAUCAGAGUUGAACAUGGGAGGGAAGUGGAAGGGAUAAAAAUGUAAUGGAAUUGCAGAGUUGUUGGCAUUCAGAUGUGUAGGUGGUGGGUGGCAAGUCCUGCUUAUUGCCUGUGGU